GCACUGUCUUUGAACUUGUUGGGUCUGACCCGUGACCUCCUGGGCCAAACUACAGUGCUAAAGAGAGAGGGCUUGUUCAUAACAGGUCGCUCUUGUCAAAGCAAGCCAUAGCC